rnacentral:rRNA from 1 species
GUGUAGGCUGGUUUUCCAGGCAAAUCCGGAAAAUCAAGGCUGAGGCGUGAUGACGAGGCACUACGGUGCUGAAGCAACAAAUGCCCUGCUUCCAGGAAAAGCCUCUAAGCAUCAGGUAACAUCAAAUCGUACCCCAAACCGACACAGGUGGUCAGGUAGAGAAUACCAAGGCGCUUGAGAGAACUCGGGUGAAGGAACUAGGCAAAAUGGUGCCGUAACUUCGGGAGAAGGCACGCUGAUAUGUAGGUGAAGCGACUUGCUCGUGGAGCUGAAAUCAGUCGAAGAUACCAGCUGGCUGCAACUGUUUAUUAAAAACACAGCACUGUGCAAACACGAAAGUGGACGUAUACGGUGUGACGCCUGCCCGGUGCCGGAAGGUUAAUUGAUGGGGUCAGCGCAAGCGAAGCUCUUGAUCGAAGCCCCGGUAAACGGCGGCCGUAACUAUAACGGUCCUAAGGUAGCGAAAUUCCUUGUCGGGUAAGUUCCGACCUGCACGAAUGGCGUAAUGAUGGCCAGGCUGUCUCCACCCGAGACUCAGUGAAAUUGAACUCGCUGUGAAGAUGCAGUGUACCCGCGGCAAGACGGAAAGACCCCGUGAACCUUUACUAUAGCUUGACACUGAACAUUGAGCCUUGAUGUGUAGGAUAGGUGGGAGGCUUUGAAGUGUGGACGCCAGUCUGCAUGGAGCCGACCUUGAAAUACCACCCUUUAAUGUUUGAUGUUCUAACGUUGACCCGUAAUCCGGGUUGCGGACAGUGUCUGGUGGGUAGUUUGACUGGGGCGGUCUCCUCCUAAAGAGUAACGGAGGAGCACGAAGGUUGGCUAAUCCUGGUCGGACAUCAGGAGGUUAGUGCAAUGGCAUAAGCCAGCUUGACUGCGAGCGUGACGGCGCGAGCAGGUGCGAAAGCAGGUCAUAGUGAUCCGGUGGUUCUGAAUGGAAGGGCCAUCGCUCAACGGAUAAAAGGUACUCCGGGGAUAACAGGCUGAUACCGCCCAAGAGUUCAUAUCGACGGCGGUGUUUGGCACCUCGAUGUCGGCUCAUCACAUCCUGGGGCUGAAGUAGGUCCCAAGGGUAUGGCUGUUCGCCAUUUAAAGUGGUACGCGAGCUGGGUUUAGAACGUCGUGAGACAGUUCGGUCCCUAUCUGCCGUGGGCGCUGGAGAACUGAGGGGGGCUGCUCCUAGUACGAGAGGACCGGAGUGGACGCAUCACUGGUGUUCGGGUUGUCAUGCCAAUGGCACUGCCCGGUAGCUAAAUGCGGAAGAGAUAAGUGCUGAAAGCAUCUAAGCACGAAACUUGCCCCGAGAUGAGUUCUCCCUGACUCCUUGAGAGUCCUGAAGGAACGUUGAAGACGACGACGUUGAUAGGCCGGGUGUGUAAGCGCAGCGAUGCGUUGAGCUAACCGGUACUAAUGAACCGUGAGG